CACGGCUAACUACGUGCCAGCAGCCGCGGUAAUWCGUAGGUGGCAAGCGUUAUCCGGAUUUAUUGGGCGUAAARSGAGCGCAGGCGGUCUUUUAAGUCUAAUGUGAAAGCCUUCGGCUCAACCGAAGAAGUGCAUGGAAACUGGGAGACUUGAGUGCAGAAGAGGACAGUGGAACUCCAUGUGUAGCGGUGAAAUGCGUAGAUAUAUGGAAGAACACCAGUGGCGAAGGCGGCUGUCUGGUCUGCAACUGACGCUGAGGCUCGAAAGCAUGGGUAGCGAACAGGAUUAGAUACCCUGGUAGUCCAUGCCGUAAACGAUGAUUWCUAAGUGUKGGAGGGGUUUCCGCCCUUCCAGUGSUGRCAGMUAACGCAUUWAAGUAAUCCCGCCUGGGGAGUACGACCGCAAGGUUGAAACUCAAAAGAAUUGACGGGGGCCCGCACAAGCGGUGGAGCAUGUGGUUUAAUUYGAAGCUACGCGAAGAACCUUACCAGGUCUUGACAUCUUCUGACAGUCUAAGAGAUUAGAGGUUCCCUUCGGGGACAGAAUGACAGGUGGUGCAUGGUUGUCGUCAGCUCGUGUCGUGAGAUGUUGGGUUAAGUCCCGCAACGAGCGCAACCCUUAUUACUAGUUGCCAGCAUUAAGUUGGGCACUCUAGUGAGACUGCCGGWGACAAACCGGAGGAAGGUGGGGAMGACGUCAAAUCAUCAUGCCCCUUAUGACCUGGGCUACACACGUGCUACAAUGGAUGGUACAACGAGUCGCGAGACCGCGAGGUUAAGCUAAUCUCUUAAAACCAUUCUCAGUUCGGACUGUAGGCUGCAACUCGCCUACACGAAGUCGGAAUCGCUAGUAAUCGCGGAUCAGCAUGCCGCGGUGAAUACGUUCCCGGGCCUUGUACACAC
rnacentral:rRNA from 1 species